rnacentral:rRNA from 1 species
ACACAUGCAGUCGAACGAAGCACUUUAUUUGAUUUCCUUCGGGACUGAUUAUUUUGUGACUGAGUGGCGGACGGGUGAGUAACGCGUGGGUAACCUGCCUUGUACAGGGGGAUAACAGUUGGAAACGGCUGCUAAUACCGCAUAAGCGCACAGCAUCGCAUGAUGCAGUGUGAAAAACUCCGGUGGUAUAAGAUGGACCCGCGUUGGAUUAGCUAGUUGGUGAGGUAACGGCCCACCAAGGCGACGAUCCAUAGCCGACCUGAGAGGGUGACCGGCCACAUUGGGACUGAGACACGGCCCAAACUCCUACGGGAGGCAGCAGUGGGGAAUAUUGCACAAUGGGCGAAAGCCUGAUGCAGCGACGCCGCGUGAGCGAAGAAGUAUUUCGGUAUGUAAAGCUCUAUCAGCAGGGAAGAUAAUGACGGUACCUGACUAAGAAGCACCGGCUAAAUACGUGCCAGCAGCCGCGGUAAUACGUAUGGUGCAAGCGUUAUCCGGAUUUACUGGGUGUAAAGGGAGCGCAGGCGGUGCGGCAAGUCUGAUGUGAAAGCCCGGGGCUCAACCCCGGUACUGCAUUGGAAACUGUCGUACUAGAGUGUCGGAGGGGUAAGCGGAAUUCCUAGUGUAGCGGUGAAAUGCGUAGAUAUUAGGAGGAACACCAGUGGCGAAGGCGGCUUACUGGACGAUAACUGACGCUGAGGCUCGAAAGCGUGGGGAGCAAACAGGAUUAGAUACCCUGGUAGUCCACGCCGUAGACGAUGAAUACUAGGUGUUGGGAAGCAUUGCUUCUCGGUGCCGUCGCAGACGCAGUAAGUAUUCCACCUGGGGAGUACGUUCGCAAGAAUGAAACUCAGAGGAAUUGACGGGGACCCGCACAAGCGGUGGAGCAUGUGGUUUAAUU